UCGAGAAUCUUUGGCAAUGGACGAAAGUCUGACCAAGCGACGCCGCGUGCGGGAUGAAGGCCCUCGGGUUGUAAACCGCUGUCAGUUGGGAGGAAAUGUAGGUGGGUUCUCCCAUCUAUUUGACCGAUCUUCAGAGGAAGUACGGGCUAAGUUCGUGCCAGCAGCCGCGGUAAUACGAACCGUACGAACGUUAUUCGGUAUCACUGGGCUUAAAGCGUGCGUAGGCGGCCUUGUAGGUCGGGUGUGAAAUCCCACGGCUCAACCGUGGAACUGCGCCCGAAACCCCAAGGCUUGAGGAAAGCAGGGGUGUGCGGAACAGAUGGUGGAGCGGUGAAAUGCGUUGAUAUUAUCUGGAACACCGGUGGCGAAAGCGGCACACUGGGCUUUUUCUGACGCUGAGGCACGAAAGCUAGGGGAGCGAACGGGAUUAGAUACCCCCGUAGUCC
rnacentral:rRNA from 1 species